CACAGGCUAUGAAUUCAAAGACAAGGAGGACAUCACUCCUUUCCUCGAACAAGCAACGCAAGGAGAAACUUUCAACUGGUGCUCUCAACAAGCAUCAAGAUUGAAGGCAUACGUGGCAUGUGGUUUCCCCCAAAAAGUGGUCCAAUCAGAUGGUACCAUUGACUGUUAUAAUGC
rnacentral:ribozyme from 1 species